rnacentral:lncRNA from 1 species
CUGGGUCGGGUUCUGGUGGUGGAUGUUCUCUCACUCUGUCUUUGUUGAUUGUUUGUGACCUUGGAACCAUUGAAGCUCCAACGGAGGAUGCUCCACCUGUUAAUUACACUCCGACGAUCAAUUCAAUGAGAGCACUUAUAUAUUAGAAUGCAAUGUAUAUAGCGUAGGAUCAACUUACCUGGUGGUUAGGGUCUCAUGGUCCUUUUAUACUAGUAGUCAAGCAUUGAUAACUGCAUAAUUUAUCCGUUAAUAUUCUCCCUUAUAUUUUGGGGUUAUAUCUUUGCAGAGUAUCGUCUCUGCCUGUGUCUCUUUUCUUUCCACUCUUCCAAACAACUAAUUGAAUCAGAUAAAAUGUACCUUUGUUGUUUGGACUGUGUUAAUUUUACCAAAAGUGAAUGUUCUU